CCGGCUCCGGUUCACGCGUCGCACACAAGUGCGGGCGACCCGGCGGCC
rfam:Nakamurella panacisegetis strain P4-7,KCTC 19426,CECT 7604 genome assembly, chromosome: I